GGGCGAAUAGCUCAGAUGGCUAGAGCGCUUCCCUUACAAGGAAGAGGUCACAGGUUCGAGUCCUGUUUCGCCCACCU
rnacentral:tRNA from 1 species